GUCAAGUCAGCAUGGCCUUUAUGCCUGGGGCUACACACACGCUACAAUGGGCAGUACAAUGGGUUGCUAAGCCGCGAGGUGGAGCCAAUCCCCCAAAACUGUCCUCAGUUCAGAUUGCAGGCUGCAACUCGCCUGCAUGAAGCCGGAGUUGCUAGUAAACGCGCGUCAGCUAUAGUGCGUUGAAUACGUUCUCGGGCCUU
rnacentral:rRNA from 1 species